GCUGUACAGGGGCACUCUGGUGCACCAGCUUGUGGACCAACUGAGACGGGGGGGGUGAACCCGGAUUCUCUUCUGAUGGAAGUCCUUUCCUCUAUGGAGCUUUACCAAGUCAUGCUGGAUAACCUGAAGGAUUGUUAUGAAGGUACUGGAAGAAAGGAGGAGGCCAAUGAAGAGGGUUGGACGCAAGUCAGGAGGUAGGAAGAGGUAGGGGUGGGAAUAGGCACCACUACGUACAGUACAAGUCAAAAGUUUGGACACACCUGCUCAUUGAAGGGUUUUUCUUUAUUUUUACUACUUUCUACAUUGUAGAAUAAUAGUGCAGACAUCAAAACAAUGAAAUAACACAUAUGGAAUCAUGUAGUAACCAAUUCUUUUUUAAACAAAUCAAAAUAUAUUUUAUAUUUGCGAUUCUUCAAAGUAGCCACCCUUUGCCUUGAUGACACUAACAAAAUGUCCCCAGUUGGUGUUUUAUUUUGUUUACUAUUGUUGUGGGGACUUCUGGUUCCCAUAAGUAUAGUUAAACACGUUCACACGCAGACACACCGACACACACCACACACACACACCACACACACACACCACACACACACACCACACACACACACCACACACACAGACACACACACAGACACACACCACAUGCACCAGACACACAGUGCAAAAGAAGAGUCAGCUAGCCUCUGCUCUCAUUGCUGCAUGAUGAAAGUGGCCCAAGCCUCUGAGAAGUCUGCUAAUGAUAACGAUGUGGAGGCUCUCUCUCUCUCUCUCUAUCUCCCUCUCUUGCUCUCUCAGUCCCAGCUCAGGUAUAUCCCAGCCCCUAGGCUCUCAGCCCCAGCUCAGGUAUAUCCCAGCCCCCCAGCCCCUAGGCUCUCAGUCCCAGCUCAGGUAUAUCCCAGCCCCCCAGCCCCUAGACUCUCAGUCUCAGCUCAGGUAUAUCCCAGCCCCCCAGCCCCUAGACUCUCAGUCCCAGCUCAGGUAUAUCCCAGCCCCCAAGGCUCUCAGUCCCAGCUCAGGUAUAUCCCAGCCCCCAAGGCUCUCAGUCCCAGCUCAGGUAUAUCCCAGCCCCCUAGGCUCUCAGUCCCAGCUCAGGUAUAUCCUAGACCCCCAGUCCCAGCACAGGUAUAUCCCAGCCGCCCCUUAGUCCCCCCGUCCCAGCUCAGGUAUAUCCUAGACCCCCAGUCCCAGCUCAGGUAUAUCCCAGCCCCCUAGGCUCUCAUCCCCUCUUUCAGGUAUACAUCAAUAAGCUACAUGGGAGGCCGACUCAGAGUGGAGGGGAGCUCGAAUAGCAGGGCUUAGCAUAGACUCUAUGCGUCCUAAAUGGCACCCCAUUCCCAUUGGGAGUCACCCUUAGACUCUCUUCCCAACAACCCCUGAGAGAUCUGUUACCACCAUGCCCCACUACUUGCUUCCCGCCUGCCUCUCUCUCCAGCUCUCUUUAUCUUGCUCCCUCCUCUCUCUCACACCAUCACUCUCUUCUCUCUCUCAAUUAAAUUCAGUUCAAUUCAAGGGGCUUUAUUGGCAUGGGAAUCAUAUGUUAACAUUGCCAAAGGAAGUGAGGUAGAUAAUAUACAAAAGUGAAAUAAACAAUAAAAAGGAACAGUAAAUAUUACACUCACAGAAGUUCCAAAAGAAUAAAGACAUUCAAAAUGUCAUAUUAUGUCUAUAUACAGUGUUGUAACGAUGUGCAAAUGGUUAAAGUACAAAGGGGAAAAUAAAUAAACAUAAAUAUGGGUUGUAUUUACAAUGGUGUUUGUUCUUCACUGGUUGCCCUUUUCUUGUGGAAACAGGUCACACUUAUUGCUGCUGUGAUGGAACACAGUGGUAUUUCACCCAGUAGAUUUGUGAGUUUAUCAAAAUUGGGUUUGUUUUCGAGUUAUUUGUGGAUCUGUGUAAUCUGAGGGAAAUAUGUGUCUCUAAUAUGGUCAUACAUUUGGCAGGAGGUUAGGAAGUGCAGCUCAGUUUCCAUCUCAUUUUGUGGGCAGUGUGCACAUAGCCUGUCUUUUCUUGAGAGCCAGGCAGCCUUUCUCAAUAGCAAGGCUAUGCUCACUGAGUCUGUACAUAGUCAAAGCGUUCCUUAAGUUUGGGUCAGUCACAGUGGUCAUGUAUUCUGCCACUGUGUACUCUCUGUUUAGGGCCAAAUAGCAUUCUAGUUUGCU
rnacentral:lncRNA from 1 species